rnacentral:rRNA from 1 species
UACAGAGGGGGCAAGCGUUAUUCGGAAUUAUUGGGCGUAAAGGGCGCGUAGGCGGUCAGCACAAGUCAGUUGUGAAAUCUCCGGGCUUAACUCGGAAAGGUCAACUGAUACUGUGCGACUAGAGUGCGGAAGGGGCAACUGGAAUUCUCGGUGUAGCGGUGAAAUGCGUAGAUAUCUGGAGGAACACCGGUGGCGAAGGCGGCAUCCUGGACCAACACUGACGCUGAUGAGCGAAAGCCAGGGGAGCAAACGGG